rnacentral:lncRNA from 1 species
ACCCCGAGCAGUUAUUUUCGUAAGGCACUUUCUCCAACACUGCCUACAGUGGACCUGAUGUGAACUAGAAUGAAGUUGGCUGGACAUGAAAUUUACUGGACCUCAAGUAGUCUGUGGAAGCUUUAAGGACCAACAACACAUCUCGGUACGACAAGUGGAGACUCGACCGUACAGACCCGUCCGGUCUCGCACACGACGCCGUUAACGGCAAACGGAGAAACGCCGCCGCCGCCGACCCGCGGGAGGUACUUUCUCCAUCACUGCCUAAAGUGGACCUGAUGUGAACUAGAAUGAAGUUGGCUGGACCUGCAGUGAAGUGGACCUGAAGCUAACUGGACCUCAAGUAGUCUGUGGAAGCUUCAAGGACCAACAACACAUCUCGGUACGACAAGUCGAGACUCGACCGUACAGACCCGUCCGGUCUCGCACACGACGCCGUUAACGGCAAACGGAGAAACGCCGCUGGGAGGUAAUACCGACGUCGUCACUUCACGUCGUGUCAUUGGGCGUACGAGCCGAGUGUAUUAGAGUACAGGUUGUACCUCUCUAGUCCGGCAUUCUGUGAUCCGGAACGAUUUUAGUUUGUCCAAUAGGUAGAUAGGCAGCUUUUUUUUUUUUUUAA